UCAAAUAAACAUAAAACCUUUCUAAAAAUCUGUGAGAAUUAGAGAGAGAGAGUAUUCUAACAGUCCAUUGACGAACCAUCCUCUCUCUCCCAACCUCUUCAUCUCCCAUUGACGAACCUGCACAGCGGAGAAGACAAAUGUCAAAUCUAGGUGAGCGACCUCGUACGGGCAUUGAUAAGGAUCGUCUUAUUUACUCCUAAUGUUUCACAAAAGGAAGCGGGAAUCUAUCUAAAAGGUGUUGACAAAUUAAUGUGCGAUUCAAGCUCAAUUUGUUCCAAAUUCAGAUGGAAAGUCAAUUUAACUUAUCCAGGUGAUAAAAGUUUAUAGUCUUGUUAUGCUUUAGAAAUUUGAUAGUGGUGUCAUGGUGAUCCAGAAUAAGUCCCACAGUGAUGAGGAGGUAUUUAAACCAAAACCAACAAAUUGCAAGAGUAUUCAUGACUCAUUAUAAUCUCUUCAAAGGUUAAUCAAUAUAGAUCUCCAAAGAACCUGAAUGAGUGUCUAAUUCUUUCUACUUGCAGUAAUUUGACAAAUCUUGAAAACGACAAGGAAUUAAUUUCAUUUGCAAAGAAAUUUUUAUGACUAAGGUUUUAUUAACUUUAAAAUAAUACCAUUUUUCAGGGGAAUUUGAAUUUCACACAACCUCGCAUAUUAUUCCAAGUGCUGUUAAUCAUAAUGAAUCUGAAAAUAUUGUGAGUUAAGAUUAUAUUCUUUAUGUAUUUUAUUCAA